rnacentral:rRNA from 1 species
GAUGAACGCUGGCGGCGUGCCUAAUACAUGCAAGUCGAGCGAACGGACGAGAAGCUUGCUUCUCUGAUGUUAGCGGCGGACGGGUGAGUAACACGUGGAUAACCUACCUAUAAGACUGGGAUAACUUCGGGAAACCGGAGCUACUACCGGAUAAUAUUUUGAACCGCAUGGUUCAAAAGUGAAUGACGGUCUUGCUGUCACUUAUAGAUGGUUCCGCGCUGCAUUAGCUAGUUGGUAAGGUAACGGCUUACCAAGGCAACGAUGCAUAGCCGACCUGAGAGGGGGAUCGGCCACACUGGAACUGAGACACGGUCCAGACUCCUACGGGAGGCAGCAGUAGGGAAUCUUCCGCAAUGGGCGAAAGCCUGACGGAGCAACGCCGCGUGAGUGAUGAAGGUCUUCGGAUCGUAAAACCCUGUUAUUAGGGAAGAACAGAUGUGUAAGUAACUGUGCACAUCUUGACGGUACCUAAUCAGAAAGCCACGGCUAACUACGUG